GCUCUGCAUUGCAUAUACUAAAAUUGUAUGGAUACAGCGAUUAGCAUGUCCCCUGAAAGAGGGUGGAACACAUUUGUGGAGUAUUUCAUAUUUUU
ensembl:snRNA LOC120094871 U6 spliceosomal RNA